GACGAACGCUGGCGGCGUGCUUAACACAUGCAAGUCGAACGGAGUGGCGAACGGGUGAGUAACACGUGGGUGACCUGCCCUGCACUUCGGGAUAAGCCUGGGAAACUGGGUCUAAUACCGGAUAGUGGGGGAUGGGCUCGCGGCCUAGGAGCUUGUUGGUGGGGUAAUGGACUACCAAGGCGGGGACGGGUAGCCGGCCUGCGAGGGUGGACGGCCACAUUGUGAUUGAGACACGGCCCAGACUCCUACGUGAGGCAGCAGUGGGGAAUAUUGCACAAUGGGCGGAAGCCUGAUGCAGCGACGCCGCGUGGGGGAGGACGGCCUUCGGGUUGUAAACUCCUUUCACCAUCGACGCGGUAGAGGGAGAAGAAGCACCGGCUAACUACGUGCCAGCAGCCGGGGUAAUU
rnacentral:rRNA from 1 species